AUUGAACGCUGGCGGCAUGCCUAACACAUGCAAGUCGAGCGAGCGGAGGAGGGGUGAGUAAUGUCUGGGAAACUGCCUGUUGGAGGGGGAUAACAACUGGAUACGGUAGCUAAUACCGCAUACCAUCAGAUGUGCCCAGAUGGGCGUAGCUAGUAGGUGGGGUAACGGCUCACCUAGGCGACGAUCCCUAGCUGGUCUGAGAGGAUGACCAGCCACACUGGAACUGAGACACGGUCCAGACUCCUACGGGAGGCAGCAGUGGGGAAUAUUGCACAAUGGGCGCAAGCCUGAUGCAGCCAUGCCGCGUGUGUGAAGAAGGCCUUCGGGUUGUAAAGCACUUUCAGCGGGGAGGCGUUACCCGCAGAAGAAGCACCGGCUAACUCCGUGCCAGCAGCCGCGGUAAUAC
rnacentral:rRNA from 1 species